rnacentral:rRNA from 1 species
AGUGAACGCUGGCGGUAGGCCUAACACAUGCAAGUCGAACGGCAGCACAGUAAGAGCUUGCUCUUACGGGUGGCGAGUGGCGGACGGGUGAGGAAUACAUCGGAAUCUACUUUUUCGUGGGGGAUAACGUAGGGAAACUUACGCUAAUUCCGCAUACGACCUACGGGUGAAAGCAGUGGAUCUUCGGACCUUGCGCGAUUGAAUGAGCCGAUGUCGGAUUAGCUAGUUGGCGGGGUAAAGGCCCACCAAGGCGACGAUCCGUAGCUGGUCUGAGAGGAUGAUCAGCCACACUGGAACUGAGACACGGUCCAGACUCCUACGGGAGGCAGCAGUGGGGAAUAUUGGACAAUGGGCGCAAGCCUGAUCCAGCCAUACCGCGUGGGUGAAGAAGGCCUUCGGGUUGUAAAGCCCUUUUGUUGGGAAAGAAAAGCAGCAGGUUAAUACCACGCUGUUCUGACGGUACCCAAAGAAUAAGCACCGGCUAACUUCGUG